rnacentral:rRNA from 1 species
UCGAGAAUCUUCCGCAAUGCGCGAAAGCGUGACGGAGCAAUGCCGCGUGGAGGACGAAGGCCCUCGGGUCGUAAACUCCUGUCACUCGGAACGAACACAAUGACGGUACCGAGAGAGGAAGCCACGGCUAACU